CGCAGGAAAGUGUAUCGGUUGCACAUCAGGCUCAUAACCUGAAAGUGGUGGGUUCAAUUCCCGCUCCUGCCUCCA
rnacentral:tRNA from 1 species